rnacentral:rRNA from 1 species
ACCUUACCAGGUCUUGACAUCCUUUGACCACUCUAGAGAUAGAGCUUCCCCUUCGGGGGCAAAGUGACAGGUGGUGCAUGGUUGUCGUCAGCUCGUGUCGUGAGAUGUUGGGUUAAGUCCCGCAACGAGCGCAACCCUUAUUGUUAGUUGCCAUCAUUCAGUUGGGCACUCUAGCAAGACUGCCGGUGACAAACCGGAGGAAGGUGGGGAUGACGUCAAAUCAUCAUGCCCCUUAUGACCUGGGCUACACACGUGCUACAAUGGGAAGUACAACGAGUCGCGAAGUCGCGAGGCUAAGCUAAUCUCUUAAAGCUUCUCUCAGUUCGGAUUGCAGGCUGCAACUCGCCUGCAUGAAGCCGGAAUCGCUAGUAAUCGCGGAUCAGCACGCCGCGGUGAAUACGUUCCCGGGCCUUGUACACACCGCCCGUCACACCACGAGAGUUUGUAACACCCGAAGUCGGUGAGGUAACCNUUUUGGAGCCAGCCGCCUAAGGUGGGAUAGAUGAUUGGGGUGAAGUCGUAACAAGGUAGCCGUAUCGGAAGGUGCGGCUGGAUCACCUCCUUUCUAAGGAA